CCUACGGGGGGCAGCAGUGGGGAAUAUUGCACAAUGGGGGGAACCCUGAUGCAGCAAUGCCGCGUGGGUGAAGAAGCACUCCGGUGCGUAAAGCCCUAUCAGCAGGGAAGAAACAGGACAGUACCUGACUAAGAAGCCCCGGCUAACUACGUGCCAGCAGCCGCGGUAAUACGUAGGGGGCAAGCGUUAUCCGGAUUCACUGGGCGUAAGGGGAGCGCAGGCGGCAUGGCAAGUCUGAUGUGAAAACCCGGGGCCCAACCCCGGGAGUGCAUUGGAAACUGCCAGGCUGGAGUGUCGGAGGGGUAAGCGGAAUUCCUAGUGUAGCGGUGAAAUGCGUAGAUAUUAGGAGGAACACCAGUGGCGAAGGCGGCUUACUGGACGACUACUGACGCUGAGGCUCGAAAGCGUGGGGAGCAAACAGGAUUAGAUACCCGUGUAGUC
rnacentral:rRNA from 1 species